rnacentral:tRNA from 3 species
GCCCACGUAGCUCAGUUGGUAGAGCACUUCCUUGGUAAGGAAGAGGUUCACCGGUUCAAGCCCGGUCGUGGGCUCCA